UACAGAGGGGGCAAGCGUUGUUCGGAAUUACUGGGCGUAAAGGGCGCGUAGGCGGCCUUCUAAGUCGAACGUGAAAUCCCUGGGCUCAACCCAGGAACUGCGUCCGAUACUGGAAGGCUUGAAUCCGGGAGAGGGAUGCGGAAUUCCAGGUGUAGCGGUGAAAUGCGUAGAUAUCAGGAGGAACACCGAUGGCGAAGGCAGGUCUCUGGGCCACUACUGACGCUGAGAAGCGAAAGCAUGGGGAGCGAACAGG
rnacentral:rRNA from 1 species